UACGUAGGGGCCUAGCGUUGUCCGGAUUUAUUGGGCGUAAAGAGCUCGUAGGCGGUUCGGUAAGUCAGGUGUGAAAUCUCCACGCUCAACGUGGAGGCGCCACCUGAAACUGCCGUGACUCGAGUCCGGUAGGGGAGUGUGGAAGUUCCCGGUGUAGCGGUGAAAUGCGCAGAUAUCAGGAGGAACACCGGUGGCGAAGGCGGGUCUCUGGGCCGAUACUGACGCUGAGACGCGAAAGCGUGGGUAGCAAACAGG
rnacentral:rRNA from 1 species